rnacentral:rRNA from 1 species
AUCAGCCUUUUGGGUGUGAUUUUGUGGAGUGUGAAGAGUUAAACGCCUUCAUGCCUGCAUAUUCGUGCACUUUGGGUGUACUUGCCCGUGUGGUUGGUUAACAUCAAUUUUGGUGGUCAUAAAAUGACUGGAGGAAUGUAGCUUCGAUCUCGUAUUGAAGUGUUAUAGCCUUCGGUAGAUGUGAUGAUCGAGAUUGAGGAUUGCAACGGAUACCCUUCGGGGCUACCUGUCUGGUCUCUGAUCGUUGCUCUGGUGCCGAAAGCUUGCUUACGGUUAUCAAAGUCGAUGGGUCAAUAGGUUAGAACGGGGUUAAAUUCGUUAAGGAUGUUGACGUAAUGGCUUU